GCCUAAUACAUGCAAGUCGAGCGGACAGAUGGGAGCUUGCUCCCUGAUGUUAGCGGCGGACGGGUGAGUAACACGUGGGUAACCUAGCCUGUAAGACUGGGAUAACUCCGGGAAACCGGGGCUAAUACCGGAUGCUUGAUUGAACCGCAUGGUUCAUUUAUAAAAGGUGGCUUUUAGCUACCACUUACAGAUGGACCCGCGGCGCAUUAGCUAGUUGGUGAGGUAACGGCUCACCAAGGCAACGAUGCGUAGCCGACCUGAGAGGGUGAUCGGCCACACUGGGACUGAGACACGGCCCAGACUCCUACGGGAGGCAGCAGUAGGGAAUCUUCCGCAAUGGACGAAAGUCUGACGGAGCAACGCCGCGUGAGUGAUGAAGGUUUUCGGAUCGUAAAACUCUGUUGUUAGGGAAGAACAGGUACCGUUCGAAUAGGGCGGUACCUUGACGGUACCUAACCA
rnacentral:rRNA from 1 species